rnacentral:rRNA from 1 species
UACGUAGGGGGCUAGCGUUGUCCGGAUUUAUUGGGCGUAAAGAGCGUGUAGGCGGCCAUGUAGGUCCGGUGUGAAAACUCGAGGCUUAACCUCGAGAUGUCAUCGGAAACCAUUUGGCUAGAGUCCGGAAGAGGAGAGUGGAAUUCCUGGUGUAGCGGUGAAAUGCGCAGAUAUCAGGAAGAACACCAAUGGCGAAAGCAGCUCUCUGGGACGGUACUGACGCUGGGACGCGAAAGCGUGGGGAGCGAACAGG